rnacentral:rRNA from 1 species
UCGAGGGGUAGUAUAGCAUAUAUGAGACCGGCGCACGGGUGCGUAACGCGUAUGCAAUCUACCUUUUACAGAGGGAUAGCCCAGAGAAAUUUGGAUUAAUACCUCAUAGUAUAUUUUGAUGGCAUCAUCAGAUUAUUAAAGUUCCAACGGUAAAAGAUGAGCAUGCGUCCUAUUAGCUAGUUGGUGUGGUAACGACACACCAAGGCUACGAUAGGUAGGGGUCCUGAGAGGGAGAUCCCCCACACUGGUACUGAGACACGGACCAGACUCCUACGGGAGGCAGCAGUGAGGAAUAUUGGACAAUGGGCGCAAGCCUGAUCCAGCCAUGCCGCGUGCAGGAAGACGCAUCUAUGGUGUGUAAACUGCUUUUGUACGGGAAGAAACACUCCUACGUGUAGGAGCUUGACGGUACCGUAAGAAUAAGGAUCGGCUAACUCCGUGCCAGCAGCCGCGGUAAUACGGAGGAUCCAAGCGUUAUCCGGAAUCAUUGGGUUCAAAGGGUCCGUAGGCGGUUUGAUAAGUCAGUGGUGAAAGCCCAUCGCUCAACGAUGGAACGGCCAUUGAUACUGUCAGACUUGAAUUACUGGGAAGUAACUAGAAUAUGUAGUGUAGCGGUGAAAUGCUUAGAUAUUACAUGGAAUACCAAUUGCGAAGGCAGGUUACUACCAGUGGAUUGACGCUGAUGGACGAAAGCGUGGGGAGCGAACAGGAUUAGAUACCCUGGUAGUCCACGCCGUAAACGAUGGAUACUAGCUGUUCGGUUGCAAGACUGAGUGGCCAAGCGAAAGUGAUAAAUAUCCCACCUGGGGAGUACGUUCGCAAGAA